ACAAAGGUGGCUUCCAUAGGUCAUAGUGGUUAUCAGCUGUGCCUCCCUCUUAGAGGUCCUCGGAGUCCGGAGUCCUUGAAGGGAAAUCUGACACAAUGAAGCAGAGCUGGUCAGGACCUGACAGAUCCUCCAGCCCAGUUCUCCCGGCUCUCAAACACUGGUAUCAUUUGUGAUUCCCUGGAAAAUCACCAGCAGGUAAAUGAAGGAGAAAAGAAAAGAACAAAAUCCACCGGGAACCAGAGACUUCCAGGCUCCAAAGACAGGCAAUCUCCACCAGGAAGCAUUUCACUAAAUUCUUGAAGGAGUCUGAGAGAACUUGGGGGCGCUUGAGGAACCCAAAGGUGUGAAGUAAAAGCUGGAAACCAAGAUUGCUGGGAAAGUUCAGAGAAAGUAGAGAUACUUCGUUUGAUGGAGAUCACAUGCAAGGUAAUGAUAUAGGAGGUAGAAAGAAAUUAGGCAGAGAGUGAGGGCAACAGAGUCCUUGGCAGAGCUUCCCUUUUAACAAAAAAGCAGCCCAAGAAAUUAUUUUUUUUUCUAACAAAGAGCACCCUGAAAAAUCCAGCUGCAAAAAUAGAUACUGGAAACUUGCAUGGGGG
rnacentral:lncRNA from 1 species